rnacentral:rRNA from 1 species
GACGAACGCUGGCGGCGCGCCUAAUACAUGCAAGUAGAACGCUGAAGGAGGAGCUUGCUCUUCUGGAUGAGUUGCGAACGGGUGAGUAACGCGUAGGUAACCUGCCUGGUAGCGGGGGAUAACUAUUGGAAACGAUAGCUAAUACCGCAUAAUAGCAGUUGUUGCAUGACAGCUGUUUGAAAGGUGCAAUUGCACCACUACCAGAUGGACCUGCGUUGUAUUAGCUAGUUGGUGGGGUAACGGCCCACCAAGGCGACGAUACAUAGCCGACCUGAGAGGGUGAUCGGCCACACUGGGACUGAGACACGGCCCAGACUCCUACGGGAGGCAGCAGUAGGGAAUCUUCGGCAAUGGACGAAAGUCUGACCGAGCAACGCCGCGUGAGUGAAGAAGGUUUUCGGAUCGUAAAGCUCUGUUGUAAGAGAAGAACGAGUGUGAGAGUGGAAAGUUCACACUG